GACGAACGCUGGCGGCGUGCUUAACACAUGCAAGUCGAACGGAAAGUCCGUGCUUUUGGGGGCUGCUCGGGUGGCGAACGGGUGAGUAACACGUGAGUAACCUGCACUUGACUUUGGGAUAACUUCAUGAAACUGGGGCUAAUACCAGAUAGGAGCUCCUGCUGCAGGGUGGGGGUUGGAAAGUUUCGGCGGUUGGGGAUGGACUCGCGGCUUAUUAGCUUGUUGGAUGGGUAGUGUCUUACCAAGGCUUGGACGGGUAGCCGGCCUGAGAGGCUGACCGGCCACACCGGGACGGAGAUAAGGCACAGACUCGUCCGGGACGCAGCGGUGCGGAAUAUUGCACAAUGGGCUGAAGCCUGAUGCAGCAACGCAGCGCGCGGGAUGACGGCCUUUGGGUUGUAAACCGCUUUCGCCUGUGACGAAGCGUGAGUGACGGUAAUGGGUAAAGAAGCACCGGCUAACUACGUG
rnacentral:rRNA from 1 species